UACGGAAGAUGCGAGCGUUAUCCGGAUUUAUUGGGUUUAAAGGGUGCGUAGGCGGACUAUUAAGUCAGCUGUGAAAGUUUGCGGCUCAACCGUAAAAUUGCAGUUGAUACUGAUAGUCUUGAGUACAGUAUAGGUGGGCGGAAUUCGUGGUGUAGCGGUGAAAUGCUUAGAUAUCACGAAGAACUCCGAUUGCGAAGGCAGCUCACUGGAGUGUAACUGACGCUGAGGCACGAAAGUGUGGGUAUCAAACAGG
rnacentral:rRNA from 1 species